UGAUGAAUCUGUGCUGCAGCUGGAAAAGAAUGUUCUGCUGUACCUUGUGUAAAAGGAUCACAAUUAACAUCCACUGAGGUUUGGAAACGAUUAUCCUUGCGUGCACAGCGGAAUGGACAGAGUGGACACUGGUGACUUUUUAGCCCCGUGUGAAUCACC